AGUGAACGCUGGCGGUAGGCCUAACACAUGCAAGUCGAACGGCAGCACAGUAAGAGCUUGCUCUUACGGGUGGCGAGUGGCGGACGGGUGAGGAAUACAUCGGAAUCUACUUUUUCGUGGGGGAUAACGUAGGGAAACUUACGCUAAUACCGCAUACGACCUACGGGUGAAAGCAGGGGGAUCUUCGGACCUUGCGCGAUUGAAUGAGCCGAUGUCGGAUUAGCUAGUUGGCGGGGUAAAGGCCCACCAAGGCGACGAUCCGUAGCUGGUCUGAGAGGAUGAUCAGCCACACUGGAACUGAGACACGGUCCAGACUCCUACGGGAGGCAGCAGUGGGGAAUAUUGGACAAUGGGCGCAAGCCUGAUCCAGCCAUACCGCGUGGGUGAAGAAGGCCUGCGGGUUGUAAAGCCCUUUUGUUGGGAAAGAAAAGCAGCAGGUUAAUACCCCGCUGUUCUGACGGUACCCAAAGAAUAAGCACCGGCUAACUUCGU
rnacentral:rRNA from 1 species